AAAGUCGUAACAAGGUCUCCGUAGGUGAACCUGCGGAGGGAUCAUUACACAAUACGAAGGCGGGCUGGACACCCCUCGCUGGGCACUGCUUCACGGCGUGCGCGGCGGGGCCGGCCCUGCUGAACUAUUCACCCGUGUCUUUUGCGUACUUCUUGUUUCCUGGGCGGGCUCGCCCGCCACUAGGACCAACCACAAACCUUUUUGUAAUAGCAAUCCGCGUCAGUAACAACGUAAUUAAUUACAACUUUCAACAACGGAUCUCUUGGUUCUG
rnacentral:misc_RNA from 1 species